rnacentral:rRNA from 1 species
UGGGGAAUCUUGCGCAAUGGGCGAAAGCCUGACGCAGCGACGCCGCGUGUGGGAUGAAGGUCUUCGGAUUGUAAACCACUGUCGGGAGGGACGAAGCUCUGACGGUACCUCCAAAGGAAGCACCGGCUAACUCUGUGCCAGCAGCCGCGGUAAUACAGAGGGUGCGAGCGUUGUCCGGAAUCACUGGGCGUAAAGGGCGCGUAGGCGGCCUGGUAAGUAGGGGGUGAAAUCUCAUGGCUCAACUGUGAGGCUGCCUUCUAGACUGCUGGGCUUGAGCACGGUAGAGGCUGGUGGAAUUCCCGGUGUAGCGGUGGAAUGCGUAGAGAUCGGGAGGAACAUCGGUGGCGAAGGCGGCCAGCUGGGCCGUUGCUGACGCUGAGGCGCGAAAGCGUGGGGAGCAAACAGGAUUAGAUACCCACGUAGUCCCUGAGCGGGCUGGCAAGGCGCAU